rnacentral:rRNA from 1 species
CAGCAGUCGCCACGGUAAUACGGAGGGUGCAAGCGUUAAUCGGAAUUACUGGGCGUAAAGCGCACGCAGGCGGUCUGACAAGUCAGAUGUGAAAUCCCCGGGCUUAACCUGGGAACUGCAUUUGAAACUGUCAGGCUGGAGUCUUGUAGAGGGGGGUGGAAUUCCAGGUGUAGCGGUGAAAUGCGUAGAGAUCUGGAGGAAUACCGGUGGCGAAGGCGGCCCCCUGGACAAAGACUGACGCUCAGGUGCGAAAGCGUGGGGAGCAAACAGGAUUAGAUACCCGAGUAGUCCCUGUCUCUUAUCC